AUUGCAGAAUUCAGUGAAUCAUCGAAUCUUUGAACGCACCUUGCGCUCCUUGGUAUUCCGAGGAGCAUGCCUGUUUGAGUGUCAUUA
rnacentral:rRNA from 1 species